rfam:Sus scrofa chromosome 15.
UCCCUGGUGGCUCAGCAGGUUAAUGAUCCAGCAUUGUCACUGCUGUGGUGCAGGUUUGAUUCCUGGCCAGGGAA